CUCGACAUCGCCGGAUUUUCUGCAGCAACACAAAAUCCACUAAAAAAACCAACUUCUUCCCCCCCCUGCACAUGCACAGGAUGCGGAGAUGAGGCUUGCAUGGUUCUCUAUGCUGCUGAAACCUCUCCUCCUCCUCUCCUCCUCCCGAUGAGGGGAGCAAACAGGACGAAAACCAAGCUGACUCAUGUGUUCUUUUUCAAAAAGAAGAUCGCAAAGGUGGAGCGAUUAGAGCUGGGCUCAUGACGGGACUAUUAAUCCUUUCAGUGCACCAAAGAGGUUUGGAAGCGUUUGGAUGGAAAACGGGCGAGUGUCUACUACUCGAACUGUUUUUGGUCUUGUAUGAAGCCGGCGAUUAGUUGUUGCCACACAUUCUUCCCUAAUGACUGCAUUGAGGAGAGGAUGAGUGGUUUCUCAGCGUGAAUCUCCCCCGAAACUCACCUCUUGUUUUCUCUCCUCAAGUACUCCCAAAUCUAAAUGGAAUUAGUUGAGUCUGUAGGCGUUUGUGAAAGGAACAGACAUGGUACAUGGACACAGCUUCCAUCACGUUGUUGCAAGUCUUCUCCUACUUGGCUUGUCCGGCGCAACAAAGAGAGAUACAUCAGUAAAAAACAAUUCUGGUGUGAAGCCAGCAGGUCAGUGUGGAACGUGGGUGAAAGAACCAGAAGGAGGUCUCUUCACUUCUCCCAAUUACCCAAACAAAUACCCCCCAGGCACAGAGUGUGUGUACAUCCUUGAAGCCCCCCCAAGACAGUGCAUCGAGCUCCAUUUUGAGGAGAACUAUUCGAUCGAGUCCUCAUGGGAAUGUAAAUUUGACAACAUCGAGGUUCGCGAUGGACCUUUCAGCUUCUCUCCCAUGCUCGGACGCUAUUGCGGUCAGCACAGCCCGUCGGAUAUCAGGAGUAGCGGCCGGUACCUGUGGAUAAAAUUUGUAACAGAUGGCGAACUGGAGGCGGUGGGAUUUUCAGCCAGUUACAACUUCACUGCAGAUCCAGACUUUGCAGACUUGGGAGUACCACCACCUCUACCCUCAUGUCAGUACGACAUGGUCGGUCCAGAAGGUAUCGUCGAGUCUCAUCAGAUCACCAGAGACGGGAAGGCUGGCGCGAACGAGGCCGUCGACUGCAAAUGGUACAUCCGGGCGCCGCCACGCUCCAAGAUCUACCUGCGUUUCCUCGAUUAUGAGAUGGCCAACUCCAACGAGUGCAAGCGCAACUUUGUGGCAGUGUAUGACGGUGGCAGUUCGGUGGAGGACCUGAAGAGCAAGUUCUGCUCCACAGUGGCCAAUGACCUCAUGCUGGUGUCGACUCUGGGCGUAAUCCGGAUGUGGGCGGACGAGGCCAGCCGGAAAAGCCGCUUCCGCAUCCUUUUCACGACCUACCAAGAACCUCCAUGUGAUCCAGAUGCCUUCUUCUGUCACAGUAACAUGUGCAUAAACAACACAUUGGUGUGCAACGGCCAUCAGAACUGCGUAUACCCUUGGGAUGAGAAUCAGUGUAAAGAGAAGACGAAAGCCAACAUCCUGGACAACCUGAACAACACAAAUGGGACCAUCAUUGGCGUCACCUGCUGCAUCGUCCUUCUCCUCCUCAUCAUCUCCAUUAUCGUCCAAAUCAAGCAGCCUCGCAAAAAGUACAUCCUGCGGCGUGAGGACUUUGACCCCACCAUGUUUCAAGAGGUCUACGAGCCACCUCACUACGAGCUGUGCACUCUCCGUAGCGCCAACACCGCCGCUGCCGCCUCAGCAGACCUAGUGGACCUCGCGGAAGACUUUGAGAAGUACCACACCCUCCGUCGUGCCUCCUCACGCUGCAUCCAUGACCACCACUGUGGCUCGUCCUCCAACCCGGGCUCGGCUCAUAUAUCCCAGCUGUCCCUCAGCGGGCGAGGGAGCCGCGGCAACCUGAGCUCACGGGACGCGGCGGCGGCCAGCCUCCUCGCAGACCUCCCGCAGCCACCCAUGUCCGUGCGGCCUCUGCUGCCGAGCGCGGGGAACCGGAGGAGCAUCUUGGUCAUGAAGCACAGCUACUCGCAAGAGGGAGCAGACAAUGGAUGCGACCUGGAGGACGACCUGGAUGAAGUUCCAACCACCAGCCACCGGCUUUCACGCCACGAAAAGGCAGUACAGCGGUCAGUAUCCAUAGAUUUUUGAUGAGAGAACACCAGCCCUAAUUUAACUGUGGAAUAUUCCCAUUUUAUUUUGGAUCAUCCUCUUUUGGUCAUCAUUGUUCUUCCUUUACUCUUCUUAAACAGUACUUUAUUUUUAUUUUUUUAUUAUUUUACCUCUCUUUACAUUUUAAAACUGUUUUCUUGCUCUUGAAUGCUCCUCCUCAACUGCUUUCAAAAAACGUAGGGGAUAUUGGGCAUCAGUGUGAAAUUUUAGGAUGACGCUAAAAUGCACUUCACAUUACAGUUGAAAUUAAUGUUUCAGUACAUUUUGCAUAACUUCUCGCAGUUCUCCAACAAGGAGCCUAACAUUAAAAUUACCAACAGGUGCUUGAUUUAGGAAUCAGCCAAUACAUUUCCCGGAUCAGUUAGAGUUUAUAUUUUAACAGCCCUCUUCAGCCAUGCUGUUCACAUCUUGACCUCAUAAGACCGCGAUGACGCAUAACACUCAACAAGUACCUCACCACUGCAAAGCUUCAAAUAGGAUGUUGUCAGAGGGAAGUGCAACACUGAGCUUAGACUGUCACACAGUGUCAUCAGCAGGUUGCAACAGCGAUACGGAGAGACUGGAAGACUCACAGAAAGGCAUAGAAUUGGACAUCCUUGGAAAUGUCAAAAAAAAAAAAAAAAAAAGACACCUGUUGUGAAUUUUGUCAUUCAGUUCCUUGUAAGAGAACAGUAAGUUCUGUAAAAAAAAAAAAAAAAAAAAAAAAAGUACUGAAAUGUUAAACAGUUGGACAUGUGUAUUCAAAUGUUUAGAGAGGAUUAAAUUAAAUUGAACCAUAAAAGUUAUAGUGAUCUUUGGGUUCAUCCUGAAAUUUCACCCAAAAGCCAAAUAUCCCAAAGCUUUUGUGGGUAGGGACACCUGCCCCGUAAAGUUACAGCGAGUAAACAUGUGUUGUUAGUCGGCAGCUUUAACAAUUUUCACUUUUCUAAAUUUCUUUCUAUUCACUCACAAGUGUACCUGUAAGGUCUCUGCUCAAGUUGAUCCCAAAGGCCUUUAAUGGGCUAAGGAUGGCCUAAAGGGUAUUGCAACAAAGGGCCUUCCCUCGACUGUUGCUACAAAGUUGAAAUCAUGGUCUUGUCCAACGUUUUUCUUGAAAGAAUUACGAUUCAGUGAGAACUAACGGAGGGCAGUAUAGCAGUGGUCACUUGCAACCCAAAUUACGAGGAUAACUAUCGAAAAUGUGUGGAUGGGCGGAUGAGAACUAACGGGUUGAGCACAGCCCCUCAAUCAAUAAAAAAGUGGCAGCUGUAGAUUUAAUCAUAUACAAAUCUUUUUAUUUUUUAUUGUAAUACAAGUAGACGUUUAAAAUUGACUGUUUGAUAAUAAUAGAAUCAGUGCAUAAUGUCAAAAUAAAACUGCAGAAAUGUUUCUACCGAUAGAAUAUCAUAUAUUGUUAGACAUUUACAAAAGAAAAACACAAUAUUUUUGUUAUUUUACUCCUGCAUGCACUUUUCCUCACCGGUCCUGACAACUUUGCAUGCUGAGUCUGAACACACCAGCACAUGUUGCAUUGUGACGUGUCUGCAAAGUGACAUUAAAGUACAGAGGGAUGACAUUUCAGGUUCUGCCUCAUUGGCUCUUUGAGCAAACAUGAAUCAGAGUACAACACAACUAGGGUCUAAGAGACAAUCUCAAGAUACGUCAGACAGAUGCAUCAUUCUUCUGCAUCUUGCCAAGUUUGACAGCAUUUGGCGGUCUCUCUCCC